AGCUUAGUGGUAGAGCACUUGCCUGGCAUGCAUGAGGCCCUGGGUUCCAUUCCCAG
rnacentral:tRNA from 1 species